rnacentral:lncRNA from 1 species
AAAAACCCAAGUACUAUAAAGACACUACUGAGGCCCAAGGCCGGGCAGGCCCGCUGUGCCACUGUUCUCCCCUGCUAUGAGAACCGAAUUCCCCAACACAUCGACGGCGAGGUUUCCUUUGCCGUCGGUAAGCGAUGUCUCAUAUCCUCUUCGACCAUAAUGGGCUAAAAAACACAGUUCCCCUGUGGAUUCAGCCCGUUUCCUUCUAUUCUUUAACAGGAAGCUCUGCUAGAAUCAGCCCGAGCAGGCGAAUCGUUCCUCACCCUCUUUUCACUCUCGGUAUGGACAGAGCCCCAGCAGAGCUGCAUAGCCACGAGCCGAGGGGAAGAUGCUGGCUCCGUCCGUCCACCCGCUCCUGUGGCUGUUUGGCUGCGUGCUCAUCAGAGGUACUACAACCUCCACAGACUCCUCCGUCCACCCUGUAGCAGACCGAUCCCAAUCAACACCACACAACCCUGAAGUAAAGACCCAUACCUCAGAGCCUUCAGUAAAGUCAGCAACACCAAUUGACUUGAAUCUCAUCUGCACAGACAAGACUACUACAACCAAGUCCUCUUUCAUCCCUACAACACCAACAUCGCCCACACAGGGUGAAACGUCUAGUGGAAGCAAAAGCACUGCAGCUUCAUCAACUCGAGGUACUUUGUCUUUUUAUAGACUAACAAUAAGUGCAGACAAUUUCAUGGCAAUUAGCUUACUUGGUUUACACGGUGCAAGUUAUUGAAGCACUAACCUAUCUUGGCAUCGAGACAUCAGUAACACCCAAAUUCAUCUGAUAUCCUUACAAGCACUGAUAAAACAAGACCAAUUCCACUCAGGAACCUCUGCCUGGGAUAAACUUGAACAGCUGAAAGACUGAUCUACAUCUAGAAACAAGGCGGCACUUAUAGCACCUUUUAAAAUGCGCUUUUUUUUUUUACUUCCAAUAGUUUGCUUAAUCCAGCUUGUACCAAAAAUUGGAGAAUUCAGUAAGUUUUCUCAGAAUAAAGACAGAAGCCAAGUAAGUGGGAACA